rnacentral:rRNA from 1 species
UACGGGGGGGGCAAGCGUUGUUCGGAAUUAUUGGGCGUAAAGGGCGCGUAGGCGGCUUGGCAAGUGGAUGGUGAAAUCCCUCGGCUUAACCGAGGAACUGCCGUCCAAACUGCUUAGCUUGAGACCGGGAGAGGUGAGUGGAAUUCCCAGUGUAGCGGUGAAAUGCGUAGAUAUUGGGAGGAACACCAGUGGCGAAGGCGGCUCACUGGACCGGAACUGACGCUGAUGCGCGAAAGCGUGGGGAGCAAACGGG